AGUUAACGCUGGCGGCGUGCCUAACACAUGCAAGUCGAGCGAAGUAACUGGCGUAGCAAUACGAUAAGUGCUGAGCGGCAGACGGGUGAGUAAUACGUAGACAACCUUCCUCUUUAAGGGGGAUAGCCCACCGAAAGGUGGGGUAAGUACCGCGUACGAUCGAGAGUCGGCAUCGAUUCUUGAUGAAACAUCCGCAAGGAUGGUAGAGAGACGGGUCUACGGCCUAUCAGCUAGUUGGUGAGGUAACGGCUCACCAAGGCAAAGACGGGUAACCGGCCUGAAAGGGUGGACGGUCACACUGACACUGAGACACGGGUCAGACACCUACGGGUGGCAGCAGUGAGGAAUCUUGGACAAUGGGGGCGAACCCUGAUCCAGCGACGCCGCGUGAAGGAUGAAGGUCUUCGGAUUGUAAACUUCUUUUCUCUGGGAAUAAUAAAUCGAUAGAAAUAUCGAGAUUGAAUGUACCAGAGGAAUAAGCCACGGCUAACUUCGUGCC
rnacentral:rRNA from 1 species